AAUGAACGCUGGCGGCGUGCCUAACACAUGCAAGUCGAACGAGACCUUCGGGUCUAGUGGCGCACGGGUGCGUAACGCGUGGGAAUCUGCCCUUGGGUUCGGAAUAACAGUUAGAAAUGACUGCUAAUACCGGAUGAUGUCGUAAGACCAAAGAUUUAUCGCCCAAGGAUGAGCCCGCGUAGGAUUAGCUAGUUGGUGAGGUAAAAGCUCACCAAGGCGACGAUCCUUAGCUGGUCUGAGAGGAUGAUCAGCCACACUGGGACUGAGACACGGCCCAGACUCCUACGGGAGGCAGCAGUGGGGAAUAUUGGACAAUGGGCGAAAGCCUGAUCCAGCAAUGCCGCGUGAGUGAUGAAGGCCUUAGGGUUGUAAAGCUCUUUUACCCGGGAUGAUAAUGACAGUACCGGGAGAAUAAGCUCCGGCUAACUUCGUGCCAGCCGCCGCGGUAACAC
rnacentral:rRNA from 1 species